GAUGAAGAACGCAGCGAACUGCGAUAAGUAAUGUGAAUUGCAGAAUUCAGUGAAUCAUCGAAUCUUUGAACGCACAUUGCGCCCGCCAGUAUUCUGGCGGGCAUGCCUGUUCGAGCGUCAUUACAACCCUCAGGCCCCCGGGCCUGGCGUUGGGGAUCGGCGGAGCCCCCCGUGGGCACACGCCGUCCCCCAAAUGCAGUGGCGGUCCCGCCGCAGCUUCCAUCGCGUAGUAGCUAACACCUCGCGACUGGAGAGCGGCGCGGCCACGCCGUAAAACACCCAACUCUUCUGAAGUUGACCUCGAAUCAGGUAGGAAUACCCGCUGAACUUAAGCAUAUCAAUAAGCGGAGGA
rnacentral:misc_RNA from 1 species